rnacentral:rRNA from 1 species
CCGGAUUUAUUGGGUUUAAAGGGUGCGCAGGCGGGGAAUUAGGUCGGCGGUGAAAUUUCGGGGCUCAACCUCGACAGUGCCGUUGAAACCGUUUCUCUUGAGUGCGGAUGAGGUAGGCGGAAUUUGUGGUGUAGCGGUGAAAUGCGUAGAUAUCACAAGGAACACCGAUUGCGGAGGCAGCUUACUAAACCGUUACUGACGCUCAUGCACGAAGGCGUGGGGAUCAAACAGGAUUAGAUACCCUGGUAGUCCACGCAGUAAACGAUGAUUACUUGCUGUUUGCGAUACACAGUAAGCGGCGAAGCGAAAGCGUUAAGUAAUCCACCUGGGGGGUACGUUCGCAAGAAUGAAACUCAAAGGAAUUGGCGGGGGCCCGCACAAGCGGAGGAACAUGUGGUUUAAUUCGAUGAUACGCGAGGAACCUUACC